rnacentral:rRNA from 1 species
GAUGAACGCUAGCGGCAGGCUUAACACAUGCAAGUCGAGGGGCAGCGCGGGAUAGCAAUAUCCUGGCGGCGACCGGCGGAAGGGUGCGUAACGCGUGAGCGACAUGCCCGUUGCCCGGGGACAACCGGUGGAAACGCCGACUAAUCCCCGAUGGGAUAUUGUGCCGCAUGGCACGAUAUUGAAAGUUACGGCGGCGACGGAUUGGCUCGCGUCCGAUUAGCUUGUUGGCGGGGUAACGGCCCACCAAGGCUGCGAUCGGUAGGGGUUCUGAGAGGAAGGCCCCCCACGAUGGGACUGAGACACGGCCCAUACUACUACGGGAGGCAGCAGUGAGGAAUAUUGGUCAAUGGGCGGAAGCCUGAACCAGCCAUGCCGCGUGCGGGAAGGAGGCCCUAUGGGCUGUGAACCGCUUUUGCCUGGGGGCAAUAAGGGCGUCGCGCACGUCCGAUGAGAGUACCAGGCGAAUAAGCAUCGGCUAACUCCGUG